AAAUGUGGCUACACCUCCUUGUCCAUCCUUAAUCUCACCUGACCUCAGAAGCUAAGCCGGGCCAGGUCUGGUCAGAACUUGGAUGGGAGACUGGUGGGAAUAUGAGCUGCUGCAGUGG
rnacentral:rRNA from 1 species